CAGUCGAGCGGUAGAUAGAAGCUUGCUUCUCUUGAGAGCGGCGGACGGGUGAGUAAUGCCUAGGAAUCUGCCUGGUAGUGGGGGAUAACGUUCGGAAACGGACGCUAAUACCGCAUACGUCCUACGGGAGAAAGCAGGGGACCUUCGGGCCUUGCGCUAUCAGAUGAGCCUAGGUCGGAUUAGCUAGUUGGUGAGGUAAUGGCUAACCAAGGCGACGAUCCGUAACUGGUCUGAGAGGAUGAUCAGUCACACUGGAACUGAAACACGGUCCAGACUCCUACGGGAGGCAGCAGUGGGGAAUAUUGGACAAUGGGCGAAAGCCUGAUCCAGCCAUGCCGCGUGUGUGAAGAAGGUCUUCGGAUUGUAAAGCACUUUAAGUUGGGAGGAAGGGUACUUACCUAAUACGUGAGUAUUUUGACGUUACCGACAGAAUAAGCACCGGCUAACUCUGUGCCAGCAGCCGCGGUAAUACAGAGGGUGCAAGCGUUAAUCGGAAUUACUGGGCGUAAAGCGCGCGUAGGUGGUUCGUUAAGUUGGAUGUGAAAUCCCCGGGCUCAACCUGGGAACUGCAUCCAAAACUGGCGAGCUAGAGUAUGGUAGAGGGUGGUGGAAUUUCCUGUGUAGCGGUGAAAUGCGUAGAUAUAGGAAGGAACACCAGUGGCGAAGGCGACCACCUGGACUGAUACUGACACUGAGGUGCGAAAGCGCGGGGAGCAAACAGGAUUAGAUACCCUGGUAGUCCACGCCGUAAACGAUGUCAACUAGCCGUUGGGAGCCUUGAGCUCUUAGUGGCGCAGCUAACGCAUUAAGUU
rnacentral:rRNA from 1 species